rnacentral:tRNA from 2 species
GCCUCGAUAGUCUAGUGGUUAUGAUUUUGCACUUGUAAUGCAAGGGUCGGGCGUUCAAAUCGCCCUCGAGGCA